GACGUAGGGCGCGAGCGUUGUCCGGAUUUAUUGGGCGUAAAGAGCUCGUAGGCGGCUUGUCGCGUCGUCUGUGAAAUCCCGCGGCUCAACUGCGGGUCUGCAGGCGAUACGGGCAGGCUAGAGUUCGGUAGGGGAGACUGGAAUGCCUGGUGUAGUGGUGAAAUGCGUAGAGAUCAGGCGGAACACCCGUAGCGAAGGCGGCCAGCUGGGCCGUCCCUGACACUGAGGCGCGAAGGCGUGGGGAGCGAACGGG
rnacentral:rRNA from 1 species